rnacentral:rRNA from 1 species
GUGUCAGCAGCCGCGGUAAGACGAAGGUGGCAAGCGUUGUUCGGAUUCACUGGGCAUAAAGGGCGCGUAGGCGGUUCCGAAAGUGGCGUGUGAAAUCCCCCGGCUCAACCGGGGAAGUGCACGCCAAACUUCGGUUCUAGAGGACGGUAGGGGGGACUGGAACUCUCGGUGGAGCGGUGAAAUGCGUAGAUAUCGAGAGGAACACCGGCGGCGAAGGCGAGUCCCUGGUCCGUUUCUGACGCUGAGGCGCGAAAGCGUGGGUAGCAAACAGGAUUAGAAACCCGCGUAGUCC